GUUAUUUUGACAGAUUAGUGUGUUAAAUUUAGAAUUUAAAUAAAUGAUAGUAUAUCAUAAAUAACA
rnacentral:tRNA from 1 species